GGGACAACGUGUGCGCAGUCAUUGGGUGUUGAAAACCCAGAGGCGCAAUGAAAGUGAAGGCAUCCCUUGCGGAGCCGACGUGCGAGUCCGGGCACCACGGUGCCAGGAUGCAGCAUGGCCCCAUCCUGACUGCUUGCAGUGGGGUGGAGGAAGAGCGUACGCGGUGAGACCCGAAAGAUGGUGAACUAUUCCUGAGCAGGAUGAAGCCAGAGGAAACUCUGGUGGAAGUCCGAAGCGAUUCUGACGUGCAAAUCGAUCGUCUGACUUGGGUAUAGGGGCGAAAGACUAAUCGAACCAUCUAGUAGCUGUUUCCUUCCGAAACUUGCUUUGACAUACCUCCCACACCUCCCCCUGAACCCCCCGACGCCCUGAAUGCUAUUGUUGUUGUUAAGUUGGAAAUUACGGCUUAUUGCGGUGACAAACCAAGGAUUCCAUCAUAAAUUUUUCACAAAAGGCAUUUUUUGCACUGCAUUCUGGUUGUGAUUUCUCCAAACUCAUCGAUGUAUCUGAAGGCUGGAAUUGUGGCGUUAAGUUUUGGGGUGAUUUACGUUAUAUUUUUGGUCAAUCAUCUCAUUUGUUAUCCGUUAGGCCGAAAUCGUCCACGUUCCUUUUACCGCACUGCCAAGACUAAGAGUCCGCUGACUGUGGGGUCAGUGUCAAACCAGAGUAACUAUCAAACAUGAGCACUUUAACUUGGGUGGCGAACAAAUUUAUAUGCUACGCGAUGGUCCAUUGAAAACAUUUCUCCCAAAUAAACAUAACAGCCUUCUUUGCGCCGCUCAUACUAAAUCGGAGAAAAUACAGAUCUUCAAAUUAUCCUUGACGUGAUACUCGCUACUCUAGCAGCAAUGUGGCAAAAAAUCCCCACAACCGGCCCUCUUCUCUCUUCGGGUGAGCGUGUGUCAUAUGUUUCAUCUCUAGAUCAGUCACCCUGAGGAGCGCCACUAGAGC
rnacentral:rRNA from 1 species